rnacentral:tRNA from 1 species
GGUGCCAUCGUCUAGCGGUCAGGAUGCUUGGCUCUUACCCAUGAGAUGAAGGUUCGAAUCCUUCUGGCACCACCA